UGUCUCCUGCGGUGUUCGUGGUGUAUCAGGAACCCCUUGAGCCUAAUUGCAAUGCAAAGGGAGCCUUCCCUGCGUAGGGAGUGCAGGUCCGCCGUCUUGCAGCGGAAAGCCCGAAUACGCAGUCCGGCGCCCACUUGAGACCAUGUCUCAAGGUCGAAGAUGCGUCACGGCAUCGGCGGGAGACAC
rnacentral:other from 1 species